GUGUUAUUUGCUUUUGCCACUAGAUGGUGAAGUAAGGAGUAAGGGAAAACACGGGAAGUCUCGCUGUGUUCCCCGGCGGCCUUCCCUCCCUGUGAAACCACGCUGACGUGCUCUGCUUUCUGGGAACCCGGCAAUUUCAGGCAAUUAUUCCCUGGGCAUUUCAUCCAGCUCAGCCUUCAAGAACUGCUGCUGCCACCCUGACUCUUUGAUCUUCUUAACUCCAGUGCUGCCACCCUGCACUGAUGUAGACGUGGCAAGCUGUGUUAGUGAUGGCAAACCUGCCUGAUGCAGGGAUGUACAGAAAGCUGUCUGCUCUGGUUUUUGAAGAGGGUGUAUGAUCUGCUCCCCUCCCCACGAGGACCUGAGCAUGCUGUGAGACCCACACCCCGGCAGGUGGGAAUUGCAAUCCCUGCGUGGCUGCUCUCUGUUGUGCCAUCUCUUGUGAGAGCUGUUUGUUCACUGGAAGCUUUGCUCUGGCUGUGCUGGAGGAGUUUGCUGGGGAUGGGUGAUGGACCGGAGAGUUACAGCUCACCUGGGGCACUGCUGCCUGCGCAGGAGGGAUUGAAUGGAUGGUGAUGACGGCAGCUCCUGCCCCAGAGGAGCGAAGUAGAUGGUGGAGAACGGGGAGGGAAAGGGCAGGUGCACACGUUUGGGCACUGGGGAGUGGAACUUGAAGGAAUGAGUUACUCCUCAGCUGAGUAACUGAAUGCCAGUGUCUCCCAGCUGGGAAAUUAAAUGCUUUAAAGGGAUGCAGUCUCAAUUUGGUCUUAAACAUAGGCUGACUGCUCAGGACUCUGCUUGUUGGGCUGCAGAAACUUUAUUGCUUUCAUUUAGGGAAGGUUAUAAAGUGCCCAACCUUCCUGCUCUCUGAACACCGGCCUGUGUGCCACUCUGCAUGCCCAGCAUGGCCUGCUUUUCAUAGAAUCAUAGAAUGGUUUGGGUUGGAAGGGAGUUUAAAGGAUAUCUAGUCCAAUCCAACUCCCCUGCAAUGAGCAGGGACAUCUUCAGCUAGAUCAGGUUGCUCAGUGCCCCCCAACCUGACCAUGAACAGUUUUAGGAAUGGGGCAUCCACCACCCCUCGGGGCGAGCUGUUGCAGUGCAGGCUUGGAGAACCAUUCCCUGUGGGACUGGCUGGAACACUGACCUGCUUGCCCUGGUUCCAGGAGUGUGGCUGUGCUUCUGGCUGGGUUAUUUCUUGCUGGGCGUUGCUGCUGAGGGGGGUCUUUGCACGGGAGCAGAUCAGGGAGUGCCCACAGAAGCCAGGCUGUGUGUGGGCAACCUCCAGGCAGGAAUGGGGCCAGAGGCUGGGGAGUAUCACCCACCCUAGGGCUGGAAGGAUUUGGCUGUGUUUUCACUGUGUUUUCUAUGAGGUUCUUAGGUAUGGAAAAGCCCACUGUAGUCUGGUACAGGGUUUUAUGAGAGGCAAUGAGUCAGUCCCCUGAGCGAGAUGGUGAGCAGUAUGGAAGGUCUCUGUGGUAUAUUAGCAGUGCUCCAUAGACGGUUUGGUUUAUUUAUUUUUUACUGUGUUUCCACUGUUCCUGGCUAAUUUCAGUGGGAUCUAUCUUGUGGGCUGGCAUGCUGGGAGCCUGGGGAGGCAAUGGAGCUGCUCCCCAGCACUGAGGGAUGGCCCCCUGGUGUUUAGUUCUGGCCAUGGUGCAGGCUGCAGUGAGGAAGGAGCAGUCCCAAUCAGGGAGCUGAAUAAAGAAAACAACACUUCACAAAAACACACUCAUCCUGUGCUUGGCACAGAGGUACCUGUGUGUGUGUAUUUGUGGAUGCUGCAGAGAGAAAAUGCACAUUUCACUCUCCCUCUCCCGUAGGCAUUGAAGUGCCUGAGGGGCACAAGCCAGUAACACGCAGACAGCCAGGGAGGUUUCUUGUGCAUUGCUCCUCCUGCAGUGCUGAAAUGAGCCUUUUAUGUUCCAGAGGCCACCGUGACACCAGGCAGGAGCAAGGGGGAAAAUACUGAAUAAACCUUGCAUGAGCACAAUCCCUAAGCCAGCCUCACCCCUGACUCUGCCACGCUAUAAUCUGCAGCGUGGAAAUGUUUCUCUUGGCUGUUGGUUUAGGGCUGUGCAAUCAAAUCUGGUAGUUAAAAUCCUGCUAAACAGGGCAGGCAACCUGAACAGCAGAGGAAAGGCAAGCAGAGCUUUCAAGUUGUUUGCAAAAAAAGCCACCUGAGGAGCAGGUGGUCAUACAGCAUCCAUCCUGUGCUGUUUUGAGCCAGCUGUCUGCAGAUGGGGGGAGUGAAGACCUGCCACUGUAGGUAAUAUUCAGUGUGUCUCCUUUCCUUCCCCUCUGAACAUCUGAUACCAUGGCAGCAUCCCUGCUCACAGGUGGAUUAGGUGCUAGCACAGACCACUGCUACAGCUAUCCAUUUCCUACUGAUUUAUUCAAAUAACUUAGAAAAGUACAUCCAGCAGCUGAGUUCAGAAAAACUCUGUUGAAAAACAUGCCUGGCUCUGCAGGAGCUAUUGCUGUGAGAUCUGUGAAAAGAGCAAAACCCAAACUCUCACGUGCAGCAGAGAUGGGGAAUGGAAGGGCUGUGGGUCUGAUUGUGUGUAGGAGGAAAAGUGCCUGGGGUCUCAAAGCAGCUGAACAGUUUUUUAAUUCCAUUUAGAAUAGAAGGAAAAUAGGAAUCACAACAUUAGAAACAUCUGCCUGGAAAUGGAUGGUGUGCUUGCUUUAUUACUUUGCAGUGGCAACAUCAUAAACCCAGCAAAGCCAGGUUUGCCUGCAGAAUGUCUGUGCCUCUUCCCUGAUAGCUCCUACACUGCCUCUCCUCCUGGGGUUAACACAGUAAAAGGGAAAACCAUUUUUUUUGUGUGUGUGUGAGACUUGGGUGCAUCUCUGCUGGCUUGUCCUGGACCUGCAGGAAAACUGACCAAGCUGAAGCUGCUGUGAGGGGCUGCUCAGGCAUUAGCCCACAGGGUGUCACAAGCCAUGGGACUUCAGUGCCUUACUCCCAAGGGUAACUGAACACUUGGUAAGGCAAAUCCUCCUGAAAGACACCCUGCUUUGAUACAUUCAGAUAAGCCCAGUAGCAUGAUCAAAAUACACAGCUACAAAAAGGGCUUCCUGCCAUGGAUAUGCAAAUAUUGAGAUCAGUGCAAAUCACAGACCUCAUACAAAGCAAACUGUGACUGCUGUUUACCUCCGGGUGCACAGCACCCACAGCUACAAGGCUUCCCUCUUUUAUGCUUGUGUCAAGUUGCUCUUGAAAGCUUCUGCUGAAAAAUAAUUUCUGCAUCUUUUCCAAUGGUUGCCCCUUUCAUGUGGUCCCCCCAGGAGUCUGUGCUGCCAUGCCUUGACCUAAUCUCAGGUUUGUCCAGUUUCUUUAGGCCUGAACAAGACUGUCAAAAAAACAAGCCUCGGUCCUUCACCAGUAUUUUUUAAAUUUUCCCCUGCCAGAAUCUCACUGCUUUUCUGGAAAUAAACAAUUCCUGGGGCUGCUUGCUCAAAACACACAAUUUGCAGCCUUAUUACCAUAGCGAUCCUUUCCAGAGAUUCUCUCUCCAUGUGUGGAUGCUUCGUGCUGUGAAGACUGCAGGAACGUUUCACAGCUCCUUCUCCCCAAGAGGCAACAGGGGAGGGUGGUCCCAGUUCCCCGCAAUGGAGACAAUGCUGGAAGCGAUGCUGGAGUGGAAGAGAUGUGUAAACAUGUACAGCAUGCCUAAUUAAUGACCCGAAACCGGCCGUAAAGGUCAGCUUGUUUGCGGGGGCUGCAUGAAUGCGGACUUGGAAAGGGCACUGCUGCCUCCCGGGAUGGCAGCUGGACAAGGGCACCCACCACAGGAGACCUCACUCCUCAGGGUGCACCCAGGCCAGCCCCCCUUCCCUGGCCACCCCGAUUCCUCCUGGGGUUCUGCUGAGAGUGCACCAGGCCAGCCCCCCUUCCCUGGCCAGCCCGAUUCCUCGUGGGGCUCUGCCGAGAAACCAGGCUGCAUUCUGGGGAAGGGGCAGGCUCCUGCAGGUCUUUGGAGUGGGAUGUGCAGAGAACAGGCUGUUUUCUGGGCUGUCUGUCAGGCAUUUGUUGACUGAAUUUGAUCUGCAGAGUCUUGUUACUCAUAUUAACGCUGUCAGCAGCACGCAUGCAAAAAUUGAGUGUCUGGAUGCAAAUGCCAGGGAAUUGAUAUAAAAAUGUUCUUUUCCAGCUGUUUUUUGUCCCUGUGAAACUUUUCUCUAUAGUCUUCCAGGGGCUAAAAAUUCGAGUUUCUUGCCUAAUCUCAGGACUCUGGGAGUUAAGGCUUUAUGAAUAUUACAAAUUAUCGUCAAGCAAAUUAUCAUCAUCAAGACUUGUAAAGAUGGCUGUCCUGUAGGACAAGGUGUGCCACGGGUUGUCAUGUGAGAUCUGCAGGGUGUUUGCCAGCCCUUGCAAUUUCCGACCAGCCUUCAUCUCAACAAUUGGGCAGAGCCAUGAGAUAACCUGCAGAGAAAAUCAAGGGGAGCCCUAGCAUUACUGGGUCACUUUGCAGACAGCGCUGAGCACUUCUGGUGUCAAUAAAAUCACAGAGAUGUCACACGCACAACAAUGGUGGCAAUGAGAGGUAAGUGCCUUUGAUGAGGCAGGUUUUCUCCCUCUCUGAGAUUAACACAAUGCCAUCCCAGCUGUUCCCCACUCUCUUUCUAGUGGUGUUUCUGGGACAAACCCUUUUCUUCAGGCCUUUGGUCUCAUGUUCCCCUCGAGCUCUUUGUCCCAGCAAACUGAACUGAUCAAAGCUGCUUUUUCCAUGCAGUGGAUCAGGAGCAACUUGUUGGCUGUGUUUAGCUUCAGGCAGACUGAGGGUGUCUAGCUACAAAGAGAGACAGAAAAUCAAGGCAGUUGGUCACGCUUUGUCAUUUACAUCGGCAUUCUGUGUUGGGGAAUGCAGACAGCGUGGCAGGAAGGCAGAGAAUUUCCAGAAAGGCACCAGCCCAGGCCUGAGCAAAGCCUCUCACACAGUCCCUGGUGGCCUUAGUGAAGGUGAGGUGUUAGAACUGGGAUCAAACUGGGAUGAAACAGAAGGGGUUGAUUGUGCAGGCAGGGCACAACCUGCACCCUUCCCUGCCUGGGUCCUUCCACCCAAGGAGUGACCAAGGAGGCUUCUGACAAGAGUGGUGAAGACUCCUUAUCUGAGGAAGACCCUCUGCCAGGCAGAGCAAGGCAUUCCACAGAGCACAGCAGUCCCCUGCAAACAGCAGAAGGCAGGAGGUGUUCACAAAGUCCAGCACAUCCUUGACCUCUCACCUGGCCUUGCCACAGACUUGGAUGACUUAGUCCUCUCAUCCUUGCAGUGAAGUCUGUGGUUGUACAUCACAUUUACUCUCAGACAGAGAUCUUUUCUGUGGGAAUGUCAGUCAUCUUGGGUUCAGUUUACAGGUUUUAAGGUACUCUCUGCAUUUUGCCCUUUUCCCAGACACACCAGUGCAGUGGGCCCUGCACUCGCUUGCUCAGGCAAUGGGAUCCCCCCUCAUUUUCCCUGCCUCAGCCCUGUGCCAGUCCCAGAGGCUGUGCUCUCUGGCUCCCAGACCCUGUCUUUCCCAUCCCUGUUCCCUCUCUUGGGCGUCACUGCUCCUGGGCCUGGCUUAUAACACGGUGUGUGGCACAGGGAUGAAGAUGACAGGCCUUCCUCCCUGAAGGCUUUCCUCUCGCAGAGGAAAUCGGUUCACUGGCCCGAGCAUUCAGCACAGCAACUGAGAGCAGCCUGAAUCUGGAGCACAGAGUGAGCAUCACUAGAACCAUCUGAAAACGAGGGAAAAGAGGCUGUGAGUGAGAGGAUCAGGGCUGGAGGACGUGUGCUCUGCAGAUGUAACUACAGAUCAAAAAGUGCACAGAAGUGCUGAAAUACAAUCCCUGUCUCACCAAAUUUACAGGCUAACAUUAUCCUCAGAUGGGAGAUGCCUGGAGCAAACUGUUUCUCCUGGACUGCAGCUCAUGAACUCACCUACAAUCUGAUUCAAGUUAUUAAAGGGACUCACUAAUACCAGGACUAAUCUGAAGCUACUGUACAAGGAAUACAUUCUGGAACCUCUGACAAUAGACUGACUGUGACACUGGUCUCAGCUGGUGUGGCAUCCAGGCUUGGUAGUGUGUGGUAGAGCUGCACCCCUGUGCAUUAUCCUAUCCUCAGAUAAGGACUGGCUUGUCCUUACUUAAAUUGUCCCAGAAGAAAGGAAAGCUGGUGCACUGAGCUCUUAUGGGUCAGUGCAACGAACAUUCAUGAAUUUUAGAAAAGACUUUCACGAGACCAGAAGCAUUGGGAAGGAGAGAAGCACAAAGCAGAACACUGACUUGCUGCUGCCUAAAAAGCUGAAAGGAGAGGAGAAGAAAUACCACAAAUAGAGCAAGCCUCCUUUGCCAGGCAGCAGGGCAUCACAGCAGCAGACAGCACAACUUUCCUCCAAAGACAUAAAAAUGAGCAUGACGAAUGCAGGAGAUAAAGGACCACAGAGUAAUGCUGGUAGAGCCUAUUCCACCCUUGGGCAAGGGCAAAGACUAUGUUUGGUCAUGAAAUGUGGAGACGUCACCACAUUCCAAGCGCUGAGUGCGAUUACGGAUGCAGUAGAUCUCUUGCUAGGAUGUGCGCAUGGGGAAAUGUUUCCCAGAGAUGGAGCAAUUUUGAUGUAAAAAUUCUUUCUUGUCUCAUGGAUUGUGCCAAGGAAAACAGCACUGGGGCAAGGCAAUCUCACAGCAGGAAGAAGUGAGUCCAUGAAUGAGUCCACUGCAGCACCAUAAUGGGCAGGAAUGUGUGCUGGCCCUUUGCAUGCGGGAGAACUGGAGAAGGCUUUGGGCAGAGCCCUGCCCUGUGGCUGGUUGGUGUUGAUCCCAUCCCAAAAUAGAAGAUGGGGAAAGCAGUGAUGGUCUGCCAGGCUUGGCAGUACUGGCAGAGAGAAGGGAAAGGAAGGGAGGGUGGAGUGACCAAAGGAGGCGAGGAAUCGUGUAAGUAAAAUACCUUUUAAAGAAAAUUUUACAUCAAUCCCUCUGUUACUGAACCAAGACAGUCUCAAGUGAGAAGUCAUUAGAGUUCAUUACCCCUGGCAACCCAUGGCCAUUAAUUCUCUCUGGCAGCAAUAGCUAAGGUUGGAGGAAUAUCCAGGCUAUGGCUCUGAGUGCUGGAAUGCAGAGACACGAUAGGUCACAAAUACUUUCCUCAUAGAUGUCAAGGAAGUUGGAGAAGAUAAAAAUGGUGCCAUGGGGAAAGGAACAGUUAAGUGAGUAAUGGGAACCACAAAUCAUUGACAAGUAUUACUUCUGGCACCAAAGUUCAGUGAUCCACAGGAAGAAACACCUCUUCUGAGGAAGACAGACAUGCCCCAUCUAUUGUUUCAUGUCUCUUUACUCUUCCUAUGUUGUCACAUGAUUUCUCUGUCAUAAAGCUCCAUAUUAGCUUGGUCCUUAAAUGGUCCAAUCUAACUCAACACUCCUUCCUAUACUGAAACAGUCUGAGAAUUGCUGAGUCUUGUUUAAACCAAAAACUCUAAACUUUUCCUCAUUAGUGCAAAAGAGGAUGGUGGUUCUAGGUAACAGCCUGGAAAGGGGAUUUCUCACCAAGUUUUCUCUGUCUUUGCUUUCAGGACCAUUCUGGCUGUCUUCCUGUAACAAAUAAAUAUCUUG